UAUUUAAUAUUUAAUGUCUUUCCUUAUCUUAUAAACGUGUGUGUUUGUAUAUAAAAAGUGUCAAUAUGACAUAUCUGUCAUAUGUCAUAUAGUUAAAAUGAUCAAGAGGAGGGAGCCAGCAAGACACCUUUGCUCUGGUGGUUUUCGUACUGUCAACAAUCCCUGUAGUACCUCUGAUUCAUUAGCAAUAUUUUUUAUUUUGCAAGCAAUUUAAGGCUAAUGGCUGUUAAGUAUGUAAGGUUUGUUUUUUAACUGUGAUUUAAUUAGCUAUUGAGAAACAUUAUUUUUGUAAGAGCAGAAAAUAUAGCUGUAGUGCCCAAAUAUAUACAUUUUCAUAAACUGUGUGCAUUUAGUAUUCUAUAAAAAUGUGCAAACCCUCCUCAAGUCUUCUAAUGAUUAUCUGAAGAAGUCAGAUGUCUGUGUUUUCAAUGUUAUUGAAAUUACAUUACUCUCAUAAAUAAUCUAUAAACCUCUAGCUGUAGCCUUCUUCAAGCACUUACAGCUUUUAUUAUGGCUCUUGAAAAUUAUAUAUUAAAUGAAUUUUGGUCAGUUGCUAGUAGGUUAUCCUUACCUGGGUAUCAGUACUCUUCUGAUUCAUACCUCUUUUGUUGGUUUGGAAGUUACUAUCCUUAAUGUUAGGACAGAGGAAUUUAAUAUAGUUAAUGCCACCUCACAGUUCUGAGGUUUUUGUCCUACGAUUGCAAACAAUAACUGACAUGUUGUUUAUCUUGAUUAUGAAUGAACAUCUGGAGUUUGACAUGUAGGAAGAAUUAUUUUUACUAACUGGAGUGGCAAGUGAUCUGUUCUCCAACUCACAUUCCCUCCCUCCCCACAAAAAAUAUCACGUUACAAUCUUAUAGUCCAACCCUUGGCCUGACACACACAAAAAAACCCAAAAAAAAACCAAACCAAAAAAAAAAACAACCAGUUAAAUGAAAACAAUAGUGAAACUUUUACUUUCUGAAAACAUUUGAGCCAGGCAUUAUCUGUGUCUCUACUAUAGUAGACAUAUCUCCUAUGUCUUUCUCUUAGAAUUUCAGUCUCUUUUUUCAGAUCUAGUUUAGGAAAUUUCAUCUCUUGAUAUUCAAGUAAUCUAAAUGUGAGGCUAGUGGGGUUUUAGUCCUUUUGCAAAAUAUGUAAGGUGAUGAGCAAUUACAUACAGAAAAUGUCAUUGGUUACAAAUCAUGAAUUUUCUUCAUAGCUACUUGAGUGACUUAAAAUUUAUACUUCUACACAAAUGCUUGUAAAUAAGAGAUACUUUUUUCAGAACCUUUUUUUUUAACAAAACACCUUGUGGUGUUUGAAUUUUAUGUCUAAAUCUAUUUCAAGCCUACUUAUGAAUGGAACUCCUGGAAAAUUUGAAAUCAUAGAGUCACAGAAAAUGCAAUCAGGAUUGAGUCCCACUCCUGGCCCUGCACAGGAACCCCAAGAGCCACACCGUGCCUGAGAGUGUUCAAAUACUUGAACUCUGCCAGGCUUGGUGCUGCAACCACUUACCUGAGGAGCCUGUUCCAGCGCUCAGACACCCUCUGGGUGAAGAACCUUUCCCUGAUAUCCAGCCUAAAACUCCCCUGAUACAGCUUCAUGUCAUUUCCUCGAGUCCUGUCACUGCUCAUGAAAGUGAUAGGUAAGAACAUACACAUACACUUGUAAUAUUAGUAGUUUGUUUUCACCAGAUGUCUUUGCAGGUCCCUUAAACUGAUUCAUGAUCUGCACAGUUGAGACAGAAGCUGAAAACUACUGGUCUCUAUUCCCAUAAAAUUUCUUAUGUUGGUUUGGUUUUUUUCCCUGUAUUCUUAGCCAGUAACUCCACAAACUCCACAAACUCUAAGAACUUACAGCUCUUCUCCAAAGUAAAUGGUGAUGUUCAACACAAAUUUGUUCUGUCAUGGCUCGAGCUCAGAUUCACUUGAAUUCAUAGCUUAUGGAUAGAUGUUACAAUUAACAUAGUAGUUAAUUCAUAUAGAAUCAGUUCUACUUGAUCCUUCCUAGGGAUGUAGAGAAAAGAAUACUUCUUCUUUGAGGUUUUUCAUUUGACCCUAGGCUCUACCUUUCAUUAGUUUUUUAGCUUAGUAAUAAUUAUCAUCACUUAAAACAAUACUGAUGCAGCUAAUGGAGUUUGCAAUGUGUUUGCUUUUCUUAUUGUCAAUGUGGGAUCUAAAUAACUCAGUUAUUUAACUGAGUGUAUAUGCUGAAAAAAAAGAAGAGUGCUCUUGCUCCAUUCUGCAUAGUACCAAUGCAAUUUUUGGGUAGUCUCAGUGUUAAGGGUUAGGAGUGUUUAAAUUAAAAGGAAAAAUCACAUGUUCAACUGGAACAGCUCUCAUGUGUUCUGCUGUGUAUUUUUCAGGGUCAAGCAUCUGAUUGAAAAAGCAUAUUCAUCACAGCAUUGUGAAAAUAUGCCACAUAUGAUAGUAAUUCUUACUACCAACAGAUGGUCAUUCUAACUUGCUGUUCUUGAAAAUAUUUUUAUUUUUAAACAUCCAAGUUAAUAUCAUGCAGUGUUGAAAUGGCAUUUGUUCAGUCUUGAGACAAAGAAUCUCAAAGUUUAAAAAAAUGUUUUAGUAGUCAUUCUAUACUGUUAGCACAGUAAUCUCAAUAUUUGGAAAUUGAGGAGUUAGCUUUAUUAUUAGACUCAUUUGGAAAAUAUUCACUUCCUGAAAGAUAUACUACAUAAAGUCUUGCUAUGCUAUUUAAUUUCUGAAGUAUCGAGAAAGAAUGUUAUGUAAUCUUUUACAUACCAGUUGUAAGGGGCUGUAAUUCAGCAAGCAUGGGUAAAAUUUUAAAUUAAAUGAAUACAUCUUUUUUUUCAUAUUAUUUGGAUUGUCACCUGAGAGCACUCAUUCCCCUACUGAAUUUUAAAGUUCCAGAUCCUUUUUUGAGAUUAGAGAGAUCAAUUUUCUUGAUUUUAAAAGAUUUCUUUAUUUUAAACUUCUGAUACAAUUAAAAUAUUGAUAUAAACGGGGUUUGGAGUCUUCAGAGAGGAGAAGGUUUUUGAUGGACUGUAUAAAAAUAGUAUGCCUUGCUGAAAGAGCAGAAAAAUUAAUUGGUGGCCUCAGAGCCGCAGUCAUCAGAGGACCAUGUUCCUUUCCAUGAUAGAUAUUGAAUUGUUGCUGGUCAAGCUGUUUGGAUAUUGAGGUUGAUAUUUUGCCUACAAAAGUUCCUGGAAAAAAAAAAAAACACUAAACAACUCUGAGGGCAAAAAGUAUUGUGUUAAAUGUAGUGAUGAUGAUUAAAAUGUCAGAAAAUUUACUUUUCUGUGAAAAAGGAAUUUUAGUAAACUCAAUUAAUCAAAUUUCUGAAUUUGGAAACACAGUGUUAGGAAGCCCAUUCUUGAUCCUUGUUGAUAUUGAUCAAUCAAAUCUGUCUUAUCAAUGAAUGAAGUUCAAAGCCCUCAUAUGCUGUGUAAUACCUACACUUAAGAGCAAACCUACUACUGGAAUGGGCUGCCAGGGAGAUGGUAGAGUCACCAUCCCUGAAGGUGUUUAAGAAAACACUGGACCACUCAGUGCCAUGGUCUAAUUGGUACAGUGGCAUUAGGUCAUAGGCUGGACUUGAUGAUGCCCAAAGCCUUUUCCAACCUAGUUGACUCUGUGAUUCUACAAAGGUCUCCCCUCUCUGUUGUCCCUUAGCAGUGCUGAAACAAGGCCAUUUUAGAGGUUAUUCAAUACUGUCAUUUCCCUGUUUGUGACUGUAGUAGUCUCCUCCUCAUAUUCCUUGUAUAAUCUAAGUUAAAUUUAGAUAAUUCCUUGCAACAGAAAUUAAAUAGGACCAUAGAGUUAUAAAUUUUAUUUUUAUUUUGCUUUACACUGAAUAAAGAUUUAAUUGUUUCAAAUUAAACUGCAGCCUGGUAUAGAAAAAAGUCUGGGGCUGGGAUUUUUUUGUUUGUUUCUGUUUUGUUGGGGUUUUUUUGCCAAAAAAGUAACCACUGAGAUGCCUAUUUUUUUCCUUUCAGAGUCUGGAAAAUUAACGUGAUGGGACAGGAAGCAGAAACAAAGCUGAAGCUGGAGUUGGUGGUCUUGAUCAUACCAAGAGUUGAGCAGACACAUCUCAAACACAGAAAAGGACAGCUGAGGAGUAAGCGCAGUGCAUUUAAUUUUAGGAGGAAAACAGUAUCAGAAUUUUUAGAUCUAGCUAAGCAAGGAAGAAGAUUGGUCUUGAAGUUUAGCAUUGUGUCACAAUGAGGAGAGAGCUUUUCUGUAACCACGUUGAACUAAUGUCCUUCCUUCUUGUACCUUGUUUGCCUUCAGCUGUGGCUGAAGUUGCCCUGAUUCAUGACAGCUGGUUCAGCAUUUUUUAGCUUGUGAUCACAGAUGGUUUGAGUUAACUGAUUUUGAACUAAAAAGGGGAAAAUUAGUAGUAGGAGAAAGGAAGACUAUUAUAUGGCACAGGAGGGUGUGUUGGGAAGGAUUGGUUGAUAUUCUAUAUGUUUGAAUGUUGAAAAUGGUGUGCUGCUCCGUAAUCCUACCUGUCCUUUCUAUUUGUGAGUUAAGAACAAGAAAUGGGGAUUUUGAAAAUUCUGUUAAGGUCUAAGGAGGCUGGGAACAGUCCCUUUUGGUGACAGAACAAGAGUGAGAGAAGGAAACUUUUUCUGUCUUUGUGGAGACACUUUCCUUACAGACCUGCUGGCUCUCAGGGUAUUGUUUAUUUUAACUUGGUAGGUUAUGAGUUGAGAAGUGAAUUUCAGGGGGUUUUGUUUGUUUGGGUUUUCUGUUUGUGUUGUAAGUGCAGUUAAGGCAGAAGCAGGCAGUGGUGAGGACAAAGUGUUCAGUCACUGUAAGUUGUUGUGGUCAAACAGCUGCUCCAAGUGACUCAUGAGCCAGAUGUAUUUUGCUCUUGCUGUUGAGUGUGGAGUUCUGCAAUGUACAAAAGUAAAGGCCUCAGAAUGGCAGCUUGGGUUCAGUGCUGGUCUGAGGUGGGAAUGGGAUUUUUUUGGCUCCCUACCCAAGGAAUGCAAGUGCCAGUUGUUAGUGCAACUUCUCUGUUAAGAACAGCUAUUCUAGAUAGGCUCUUAACAGGGAAUUUGAGUAGUUUUCAGCAUAUGGAUAUGCCAGAAUGAAGCUACAUUGUGGACUCUGGGACUACCAUCUGAUAUGCUAAUGAGAUACACCUUCUUGAACAAAACAAAAGAUGUGAAGUUGUUGCUGUUUUGAAUCAACUACUGUUCUUUCAGACAGCUCAGUAAUACUUGAGACCUGUCAGGCAAAAUCUGACAAAUUUGAACCAGGUAUCUUUUUGGUUUAAAGUUGCCUUUCUAGAAUAUGCAUAUGUGUUUUAAUCUUUGACAACAAAAUCUAUGUUUUUGUUGAUGUCAGGUUAUGCAGAAUUGUAAUUUAAUGAAGCUUUUUAAUAUGGACUAAGUGGAUUGUGUUUUCCUCCAUGUUUUCUGGUGGGCUGGUGUUGAGAAGUUGUUGAGCAAAUGUGUCCUGUUUUGAUGCCAUGUUUUAAAUUCUUUGCUAGAAAGCAAAAUACCAAAUAAGUUAAUAGGCAGACCACCAUGUUUUGACUCCAAGAGAACAGAACAAAAGCUUAAGAAAAUGUAGUGAUUGCAGUGUGUAUGCUCCUGGAGCUGGCUACCCAAAUAGUAUGAGGGAGCACUUCAAGAAGGCUGAGAUUGAGAAGCUUGCUGCCAGUUCUGAGGAACUCGGUGUGACUAACUGAUUUCACAUCUCUGCUGCAGGGUAUAGGAAACUGCCACCACUUUAUACACAAACCGAAAAGCAGAUCAAGAUUUACACAAGGCUGUGGUGUCAUUAAAUUAUUUCACCCACUUCCCUGCUACUAUGAUCCAGACCUGUAUCUAAAGAGAGCUGCAAAUGCCCACAGUCCUGUAUGUAGUAAAAAGUUAUGUAUUUAGUAUCAGUGCCUUCAAACACAGUUCCUUCUCCCUCAUAGUAGAAAAGGUUUUGAAGUGAGAAUUCUGUACAUGUUUGAGUCAGUAUAAACAGCUUUGCACUGGUAUUGUUCUCAUCAACAGCUGUUCAGAGAUGAGCAGAGCACCAUGUCACUGGCACAAACCUAGAUUACAUCAAGAAAGGAAGAACAAGCAGAACUGAUGCUACUUCAUCUGGAUCACCACAGCAGAUACCAUGUUAGGACCCUUCAACACUCAAAUGAGCGUUGCAUCCACAUUUGGAUUGUCUCUGUAAGAAUGCUCAGGAAAAUAAGUGUUUAAUACCUAUGCAUAAUAUAUCACUUCUGGCAUGUCAGUAUCCAAAUCUUGGUGGGUUAACCAAGCUUUUUUGAAAAUGCAUGUCCACCUAUCUCACUGCUUUUAUAUUAAUUUCUUCUAUGAUGCAGCCUUUUCUUCAAACCCUUGUGCUAGUUAAUAAUUAUAGCAAUGAUGGCUUACAUGAGUUAUCUCAAAUGUGUAUUUAAAGGAUUAGACUCCUGAUUCAAAUCAUGCUGAUUUUUACCCUUUAGAUAGUGGGGUGACUCAAAAUGCUUGUGUCAGAUGUCUUUAACCUCUCCAGCUGUCCUGCCAGUGAGGAUGAGUCAGAAGCUGCAGUCCUACAAUGAACACACCCUAAAUCUGGAAAGCUCAGCUGUUACCAUAACUGAUUUGGCAGCUUGGGACAGGAUGGGGACUGGUAUAUUACUGAGGUGACAGUAGCUUUUCCAGAGUGAGCCUGCAUCUUUCAAAGAGAGGAAAGUCUUGUUGUCUUUUUCUUAUUCUACACUGAUAGUGAAAACAGUAUUUUCCAGGGGAGCUGAGCUGAUUGAGCUAUAGUAGAGACUGUGUCCUUGAUAACUUCUGAGGCUGAUAGUAUGGAACACUUUGUUCACUUCCUACACUGGCAUGUGGGGAAAGGCGCUGAACUUGUAGAACAUGUGUGGUAUAGGAUGCGACUGGUCUGUGGUCCCUUGAGUCUUAAAGAAAGGUGUCUGGUCCAGGCAGAGAAGACUCCAUUAAGAACUGGACAUUCCCACUGAAUUCAGUGUGUGUGUAUAUAUAUGUACUCGGUCCUAAGAUAUUUAUGCUUGUGUCACUCAAUGGUGAUAAGGGGAUCUUUUAGGGAUCUUAGGCAGGAUGAUGAUGAUGAUGAUGAUAAUAAUCUGUAGUAACAAAGCUUUAUUUUCUUAGCAGCCUAUUAUAAUCAAUAUAUCAAAUAAUUUAUUGCUAUAAUGGCACUGGACUUCUAGAAGCAGAAUCAAAGUAAUCCAAUUUAGAAGUAGCCUAAUAUUGCAUUUAAAAUACAACUUAACUUGCCAUUACAGUUGUGCCCUAACUCAAGCUUAUGAUACAACCUAAUUUACAAUUACAGCUCUGUGUGCUGUUAGGCUUCCCUCAGGAUCAAUAACAGCACCUCACUGGCCGGGUGCCUGGGGCCUCCAGGGCUGGCAGGAAUGGGAGUAAUUACCCCGGCGCCCAGCAACCUUGAGGCAGGUGGGGAGGGGAAGAAAAAAAUCUUUGGUUUGUCUGCUUGGAUCACUGGACCUUUGGGGCCUGAUAAUGGGGGGAUGUGAACAAAUACAUCACCUACUUGGUUAAAGAGAGAGGCUGCUUGGCUUACAGAAUGGCAUUGGUUAUGCUAACCACAUAAUACAGGGUCAGGAGCAGGGGUACUGGUCUCAUACACAUGGAUGGUUUUGGUAACACUGCCCUGUGGAUGUCAAGUAGAAAUACCCGUCCUCACAGUGAGAGUAAGAAAAUACUUCAUAGAAAGUCAUUCUGUACAAACUGUGGUUAGAGCUUGCAGGUUGCAUUUGUGGCCUUUGCUGCCUUGAAGCUUUCCAAAGGGGAGCUCUGCACUCCAUGACCACCUGGCAACUGCAUAUAUAACAGAGUGAUUUUACUCUUUUCGAUUAGCCAUAGUUAUAAACUGCUAUGGUCAUAGAUUUUUUUUUCCCCGCUGUUCCAAAGAAACUCCACAGAUCUAACAGCAAAUUUUUUAUUGGUAUUUCUUUUAAAAUUUCAUUUAAAAUGUCAGGUCUAUAGGCAUGAUGAAAGAAUGCUUUCCUGAGACUUUGCCAAUGGUUACUAUGGCUGCAUGUUUGAGUAGAUUUGUGAUUUGGUUUUGCUUUCAGGGUAGCACUAAAACUAUUACACAAACAAUGCUUUCAUUUUGCUACCACAGUAUCUUCUACAGGCUUCAAAAGAAAUGCACGCAGGAAACAAGAUUUAGUUCUAGCAUUUUCAUUGUUAUCUUUAAAAUCUAGAUUUUACAGUAGUAAUAAUAAAAUUUCCAACUGCUUUUGAAUAUUUAUUUUUUUUUUUAGCUAGCAGGAUUUUGAGUAGUCUGCUGAAUAGAUCUGAAAAGGAACUAGUCUGUAAAGUUACUAAGCCUGAGAUCUGCUUUAGUCAGGAUCUGUUUUCAAGUACUUUAAGUACUUGAAAAUAGAAUUGUCUAGCU